rnacentral:lncRNA from 1 species
CUGAGAAGGUGACAGAGUUCAUGUUGUGUGCUGGGCUCUGGACAGGUGGUAAAGACACUUGUGGGCAUAAUUCACCCAUUCCUGUGUUGAGCACAUGCUUACUGGGCACCUGCUACGUGACCAGCAUUGCCGUAGACCCUGGGAAGCAGCAGUGAACAGUCAGGAGCUGUGGAUGGUGCUGGACAGAAGAAGGACAGGGCCUGGCUCAGGGUGAUUCUGGGGGUCCACUUGUCUGUAAUGGUGUGCUUCAAGGUAUCACAUCAUGGGGCCCUGAGCCAUGUGCCCUGCCUGAAAAGCCUGCUGUGUACACCAAGGUGGUGCAUUACCGGAAGUGGAUCAAGGACACCAUCGCAGCCAACCCCUGAGUGCCCCUGUCCCACCCCUACCUCUAGUAAAUUUAAGUCCACCUCACGUUCUGGCAUCACUUGGCCUUUCUGGAUGCUGGACACCUGAAGCUUGGAACUCACCUGGCCGAAGCUCGAGCCUCCUGAGUCCUACUGACCUGUGCUUUCUGGUGUGGAGUCCAGGGCUGCUAGGAAAAGGAAUGGGCAGACACAGGUGUAUGCCAAUGUUUCUGAAAUGGGUAUAAUUUCGUCCUCUCCUUCGGAACACUGGCUGUCUCUGAAGACUUCUCGCUCAGUUUCAGUGAGGACACACACAAAGACAUCACUGAGGAUAAGCUGGAGCCACAAUGCAUGAGGCACACACACAGCAAGGAUGACGCUGUAAACAUAGCCCACGCUGUCCUGGGGGCACUGGGAAGCCUAGAUAAGGCCGUGAGCAGAAAGAAGGGGAGGAUCCUCCUAUGUUGUUGAAGGAGGGACUAGGGGGAGAAACUGAAAGCUGAUUAAUUACAGGAGGUUUGUUCAGGUCCCCCAAACCACCGUCAGAUUUGAUGAUUUCCUAGCAGGACUUACAGAAAUAAA